CUGCUGUGAGAACAGCAGCACAUAUAUUAAAAUUGGAGCGACAUAGAGAAGAUUAGCAUAGCCCCUGUGCAAGAAUGACACACAAAUUCGUGAUGCAUUCCAUAUUUUU
ensembl:snRNA U6 U6 spliceosomal RNA